rnacentral:rRNA from 1 species
UAUGAAGUCUAACCUGCCCAAUGAUUGUUAUUAAAUGGCCGCAGUAUUUUGACUGUGCAAAGGUAGCAUAAUCAUUAGUUUUUUAAUUGAAAGCUGGAAUGAAUGGUUUGAUGAGGAAAGAGCUGUCUCGGAAUUAUCGGGUUAGAAAUUUAUUUUUAGGUUAAAAAGCCUAGAUUUUUUAAAAAGACGAGAAGACCCUAUAGAGUUUUAUAUUUAAAAAGUAAAGUUUUAUUUUGGUUUUUUGUAGAUUUUUAUUUUUAGAAUGUUUUGCUGGGGUGGCAUAAAAAUUUAGUUAACUUUUUAUAGUAAAAACAUUAAUUAAUGAAUUAAUGAUCCUUUUAUUAGGAUUAAUAGAUAAAAUUACCUUAGGGAUAACAGCGUAAUUUUUUUUGAGAGUUCUUAUCGAAAAGAAAGAUUGCGACCUCGAUGUUGGAUUAAAGUUAAUUUUUGGUGUAGAAGCUUAAAAAUUAGGUCUGUUCGACCUUUAAAAUUUUACAUGAUCUGAGUUUAAACCGGCGUGAGCCAGGUUGGUUUCUAUCUUUUAGGAAGAAAAAUGUUUUAGUACGAAAGGACCAAUCAUUUAAAUUAUAUUUUAAUUUUUGAAUUAUAUUGUUAUUUUGGCAGAAUAGUGCGAUAAAUUUAGAAUUUAUUUAUGUAAAUUGAUUACAGAUAAUAUUGAGUUAUCAAGAUUUAUUAAUACUUUUUGUUUCUACAAUUAUUUUAAUUGUUUGUGUGCUUGUAGGGGUGGCUUUUUUA